AUGGAGAUGGACUGCAAGGAGGUUGUGGACCUCUGGAACACUCGCCACCACUCCCGCUCGGUUGUGGCACCGAUUCUUUUGGAAAUUGGGGAUUUAUCUGCUAGUUUUAGUUCUUUUAUUAUCAACAUACUUAGACUGUCUAAUUUGCCUGCUCAUCUCUAUGCUAAGCGAGCAUGUUCGCUGCAAGUGACCGAGGCAUGGACCAAUGAUGUACCUCCCUUCCUGGUUAGUAGCCUCAUGGUGGACUGUGCCAGGUGUGCUUUUGUUGAAUAA
rnacentral:rRNA from 1 species